UACGUAGGGACCGAGCGUUGUCCGGAUUCAUUGGGCGUAAAGAGCUCGUAGGCGGUCUGUCGCGUCGGCUGUGAAAACACGGGGCUCAACUCCGUGCCUGCAGUCGAUACGGGCAGACUAGAGUUCGGUAGGGGAGACUGGAAUUCUCGGUGUAGCGGUGAAAUGCGUAGAUAUCGAUCGGAACACCCAUGGCGAAGGCAGCUCGCUGGCCUGUAACUGACGCUGAGACGCGAAAGCGUGGGAGCAAACAGG
rnacentral:rRNA from 1 species